rnacentral:tRNA from 1 species
GCCUAGUUAGCUCGGUUGGUAGAGCGUCUGCCUUGUAAGCGCUAGACCGCGGGUCCGAUCUCCGCCCGGGGCG